GGAAUAUUGCGCAAUGGGGGCAACCCUGACGCAGCAACGCCGCGUGAGUGAGGAAGGUUUUCGGACCGUAAAGCUCUGUCGAGCGGGAAGAAAUGCAUGGUGGCUAAUAUCCAUCAUGCUUGACGGUACCGCUAAAGGAAGCACCGGCUAACUCCGUGCCAGCAGCCGCGGUAAUACGGGGGGUGCGAGCGUUGUUCGGAAUUAUUGGGCGUAAAGAGCGUGUAGGCGGCCGAAUAAGUCAGAUGUGAAAUCCCUGGGCUUAACCCAGGACGUGCAUUUGAAACUAUUCGGCUGGAGUAGGGGAGAGGAAAGUGGAAUUCCUGGUGUAGAGGUGAAAUUCGUAGAUAUCAGGAGGAACACCGGUGGCGAAGGCGACUUUCUGGCCCUAUACUGACGCUGAGACGCGAGAGCGUGGGUAGCAAACAG
rnacentral:rRNA from 1 species